rnacentral:tRNA from 1 species
GCCUAAGAAGCGUAAUAUAUGCAUUAAGUUUCGACCUUAACUCUGAGAAUUCCUCCAUAGGCU